UCACUAAAAAUGGCUACGUAUAUUUUUGUUUUUGUUCUUAUAAAUGUUGCUUGUAACGCAUCAAAUGAGGCAUUUCGUGAAAAAUUUUUUAGGAAAGUGAAAGAUAACGGUGAAGCUCUAGCACCAGAAGUUAUCAUUUCAAGUCAUGUCGUUCACAAUGAGAUUCAAUGUUCUAUAAAAUGUCUUGAACAGAAGCAAUGUGUUGGCUUCAACUAUCUUGUUGCUGCGGUAAAAGAGCUUGAGAUCAACUGUCAAAUUAGCAAUUCAACACAACACAACAAUGGAUUGGUCAGCAAAGGAGCGUGGUUUUUAUAAAACCUGCCAAGAUGGACCUAUUUCUUUUCGGUUUUGUGUUGCGAAUCCCGCAGGCGAUCAUGUUGCAGUUCAACAAGAGGGCAAAAAAGAUAUAGAGUGUUUUGGGCCUGUAGGUGGUUGCACUUGGUACAGCACUCUUGAACAAUGUUCCAGCAGUUUAUCAAAGGCCAACGACGUUGGUGUUGCGUGUGGAGAGGAUCAUAAAAGCCGUUACGGUAAUACGGGAUACGAAAGUGAUGGACAUUGGUGUAAAUUGGCUAAAGAAAAAAUACCGUCCGAAACAACUGAUUGUUAAAAUAUUAAAUGUAAUCAAAGCAAGACUAAUUUAGCAGUUUGAAGCUUGGGAUCAUAAAAGGAAAACGUUAAAGUGAAAACUAGGCAAACAAAUAAACUGAUACUUUCAGUGAUCUAUUUAUCAAUAUAGUGCGUAGCCAUGUAAUUUAUUAUGCAAAAUCAUGCAUAAAAAACAAGAUUUUAUUGCCGCGUGGUGCGCCCUUAUUGUAACUAUAACAUGGGUAUGAUGUGAGCACUUCUGAACGUUAUGGAUAUUUCAAUAAAUACAUUAAAACAA